CCUGGGAGCUGAGCCGCCGCCCGCUGGGUGUAGGCUGCUUCAGUAUUUACCGAAUGUGACAAGCAGAGAGAAGAGCUUUCGGUGGGGCCGCUUGCUGCCCAGCUCAAGUGGUGGGAGAGCUCCUUACCCGCAACCUUUCUGACUAUCCCAUUGGCAAAGACCCGCAGGCCAUGAGGACUGGUCAAAGACGGUGAGAGGACGUGAAAGGGUAAAUCCCUGUGUCCCGCAGUCUUAUCUCCCGCCCUGACGUCCCUGCACACCAGCCAGAGGGUU
rnacentral:lncRNA from 1 species